rnacentral:sRNA from 1 species
CGUGAAGGAUAACGUUGCGUCAGCAACGGCCCGUAGGGCGAGGCGGAGCCGAGUCAUCCUGCACGACCCACCA